rnacentral:rRNA from 1 species
UGAGCAAUCUGCCCUUCUCUUCGGAAUAAGCGUUGGAAACGACGUCUAAUGCCGAAUACGACCUCCUUUCGCAUGAUCGGAGGUGGAAAGCUCCGGCGGAGAAGGAUGAGCUCGCGGCCUAUCAGCUAGUUGGUGUGGGUAAUGGCCCACCAAGGCGACGACGGGUAGCCGGCCUGAGGAGGGUGACCGGCCACACGUGGGACUGAGACACGGCCCAGACCUCCCGUACGGGAGGNAGCG